rnacentral:rRNA from 1 species
UACGUAGGCAGCGAGCGUUGUUCGGAGUUACUGGGCGUAAAGGGUGCGUAGGCGGUUGUUUAAGUCUGUUGUGAAAGCCCUGGGCUCAACCUGGGAAUUGCAGUGGAUACUGGGCGACUAGAGUGUGGUAGAGGGUAGUGGAAUUCCCGGUGUAGCAGUGAAAUGCGUAGAGAUCGGGAGGAACAUCCAUGGCGAAGGCAGCUACCUGGACCAACACUGACACUGAGGCACGAAAGCGUGGGGAGCAAACAGG